rnacentral:sRNA from 2 species
UUACCUUUAUCGCUCAAUCCUUUUGGAGCGGGGGACCCGUUAUUGUGUGGUGGCUAUUGCCUUCACUUGGGGUGAAUUCUUCUUAUUAGAAAGGGCUACUUCAUGCCCUAACCCGACAGCUAACCUCGUAAGCGUAAUGGAGAGGCAGA